CCUACGGGAGGCAGCAGUGGGGAAUUUUCCGCAAUGGGCGAAAGCCUGACGGAGCAAUACCGCGUGAGGGAGGAAGGCUCUUGGGUCGUAAACCUCUUUUCUCAGGGAAGAACAAAAUGACGGUACCUGAGGAAUAAGCAUCGGCUAACUCCGUGCCAGCAGCCGCGGUAAUACGGAGGAUGCAAGCGUUAUCCGGAAUGAUUGGGCGUAAAGCGUCCGCAGGUGGCAAUACAAGUCUGCUGUCAAAGGUCAAGGCUCAACUUUGGACAGGCAGUGGAGACUGUAUAGCUAGAGUGCGGUGGGGGCAGAGGGAAUUCCCAGUGUAGCGGUGAAAUGCGUAGAGAUUGGGAAGAACACCAGUGGCGAAAGCGCUCUGCUAGGCCGCAACUGACACUCAGGGACGAAAGCUAGGGGAGCGAAUGGGAUUAGAUACCCCAGUAGUCCUAGCCGUAAACGAUGGAUACUAGGUGUAGCUUGUAUCGACCCAAGCUGUGCCGUAGCUAACGCGUUAAGUAUCCCGCCUGGGGAGUACGCCGGCAACGGUGAAACUCAAAGGAAUUGACGGGGGCCCGCACAAGCGGUGGAGUAUGUGGUUUAAUUCGAUGCAACGCGAAGAACCUUAC
rnacentral:rRNA from 1 species